UCAGAACUUCUUCCCUAACUCAAGUAACCAAAAGAGAAACUCCUCAAGUCAUUCCCUCCCUCGCCGACCAUCGCCAUAGGCCAUACCAUCACCGGCGAUCGUCCAUCAUCCUUCAAUCAUUCACACUCAUUCAAAUUGAUCAUUCUUCAUGUUUUCAUCUUCCCCCCUCAGAUCCGCAUCGCUAUUCUUGUUCGUUCGUGUCUCAGAUCUCCAUUGCUAGGUUCGGUUCCUAUCACCAAUUUCGCCAAGGAAGAAACGAAAAUAUGGCGGAACCUGCAGCACUACCUUCACUUUCAACACCAUCGUUAAUGGUGGCAUGGAAGUCCGACGCAGAGCUUGAGGAGGUUCUUGAUCAGAUUCUCACUUCCGCGACAUGCACUAUCGCUAAUCUCACGCGCACUACACUCAUCAAAUCUCAUUCUCAAUUCAACCUCUCAAACACACUGCAAUAUCUCAAUUUAGGUUUUCAUCUUCAAUUUCUCUGAUUCUGAGAUUUUUGAAUACUUUGUGAUUUUUGUGUGUUUCUUUUGUGUGUCAUGUGUGUGCAACGGCUACAAUUCCCAUGGUUUAGAAACAACACUAGUUUCCGGUGACUCUGCCUCUGUAUAAUGCAACUGCUAUGGAGUAAUGGAGAACCUUGGUAAUUGGCCAGUUGUUGAUCCGCUACUGUCAUAUGAACGAGGAAGGGAGUUGUCGGGUAGAAGGCACAAGAGCCUCAUUUAUGGACCAGAUUUUACUGAUGUUAUUAUAAUAAGGUAAAUGCUAGCUAGUUUUAUAAUGCUGUAAGUGUUCCAGUGAUAUGUUACAGGUGGUGGAAUUGACAAAUUGAACUUAGUGGGGGUUCUCAUCUCGAAUUUAACCUUUUUAUGUUCUCCAUUUUGGAAUAUCCAUCCUAUAUAUUGCAGGUUUGUCUUCUAUGGGAUAAUCUAGUUAAAUUUUUCAUUUCCAAUGGUGUUGAUGGCAUAUGGAAUGAUAUGAAUGAACUUGCUAUUUUUAAGGCAUGUUUUAUAAUAAACUUGUGGGCAAUACAUGCAAGUAGGAUGUGAUUCAGUUAUAUAAUAGUAAGAUGCAGUUCUGCAGCUUGACUCUGAAUUUAUUUUGUGAAGUUUGUCUUUGUUGAGUGUGUCAAUGGUUUUACAAGGUAAUAUUGUUUAUUGGAUAUUUAUGUAUUUACAACUUAAAAUUGGAAUCCAGUAAGUUUUCUGCAUCCCUUCAUUUUUUGCAUUUGUUGUGUUCAAGGACUCAGUGGUCAGCCAUUUUCUGGUCCUAAUCUUAGGGGAUUUGCUGGAAAUGCAACACCUAGGAUUUUUGGAAGUGGAUGGGUGUAGGUUCCUUGUUUCCCUUCUGCAAAGGUCAUUCUGAAGAAGGCACAAACGAUCAUGAACCCUGGUCUUUUGGGGAAGAGAUUGGUUCGCAGUUGCCUAUGUAAAUUCUUUUUUGGUCUUAUCUAGUUCCUUGUCUUUGCUUGACAUCAACUUAAAAUGAGUUAAUUGAAAUAAAUAAAUAUAUUCUCACAUGUACUUCAUUUCAUGCUUUAAGUUUUGGUGUUGCACAACAAGUUUUGAACUUAUUUGGUGUUAAUUUUAAAAAUUACUCUUGUUUUCCCUGAAAUCUUUUGAACUUCUGUGAAAAAUGAUAACUGUUUAUGUACUUCUAUUCAUUUAUAUUAUUCAGGGAACCUAAAAGAAAAUACUGGUUUUAUCAUGUAUUCUUUUUUAUGCCCAACUACUCACUAAGCAUGUGAUUGUUGCUGAUGUAUCAGUAUCCACAUCCUGUUAAAUCAUUAUUUGAAAUUUGGGUGUUAAUUAUUAAUUGCCCAUGCCUUUUACUUUAUAUCAUUUUUAUUAUUAUUGUAACCGGGCUAUGCUCUGUCUUUUCUUGAACUGCUUUUCCACUUUUCCUAAAGGAAAUUCUGUUUAACUUUUACCCAACUUAUUGAGAGGUGAACGGUAGUUUUGUUAUGAAAAAUUGUUUGGACUUUGGAAGUAAAAUAUUUUUUUAUUUCAGUGUUAAAAUGCUUUGCUUAAGUUAUAAGACUGUUAACAAUAAAGCAACAGCAGAGCUCUUGAGUCGAGCGUUAAGGAGCACUCUACAAAAUUUUUUUAGUUUACUACAUUGGAUUAAGUGUAAGGUUAUUGAGAUUUGAUCCCAUGACAGUGAAACGAAUUAAACUAAUGUCAAGAUGAUAGUUUACUCAUGUUAUAUACAACUCUUUAAUAUGCAGGCUGCAUAAUAUUGUAUUAGUAUUUAAGAUUGAAUCCUUUUAUUCAGUGUUAGUAGCUUAUAAAUGCCUUCGAUUUAAGUUUUCUUUGUUGACAUGCUCUAUAUUGUUAGUAUUUAAGAUUCAUUGGACAGGUACACGCAUUAUUAUGAGCGAUGGGCCAGCAAUCAAUCCGUACACACUACUUUAUACUUAUUAGUAUUCUUGGAAAAUGUUUUUUCUUCACGUAUCUAAAUUCAUUGAUUAGUUUUAUAUUUGGAUAGUAUUCUUACUAUGUUAUAUGCUUUAUGAUUAAUUUUCUUUCUAUGGUAGUCGAGGCAAAAAGCUCUUGCAGAUCUACACCAAAUGCAAACUGUUCAUGUAUGUUACAUAACAUUUGCUAUAUUUUGCAUUAGCUUGUAUCUGUCUUUUGCAACUCUUUCAGAAAGAAUGGUAUAUAAGACUGCACAUUUUUCUUUUUAGUAGUAUAGGUUGCUGCUUUUGUAGUCCAUUGAUUAUUUCAGUGUCAAGAGUCUGUUUAAAAUUGAAGCUCUUAAACUGCUGCUCUAGAAUCUUCUUUCUUCUAAGUAGAGCUUAAUAUGAGGUUGCGAGGAUCAUAAAAUCACCAUGUAAUCCUUGUACAUCAAUUUCUGGAUCAAUGAAUCAUUUACUGAAAACAAUCUUUGUGAACUUGUCAAAGGAAAUGCUGGGGAUCUUGUAGAAGAGGUAAUUCUUUAAACUUUUUCUCUAGCAUUUAAAUGUAUGUGCAUUAUCAAUGUUGUUGGAUCUUUAGCUUCAGAAGUCAUCAUAGCACCAAACCUUAAUCAUAAACCUACUAAAUCAUUAGGAAGAAGCUGAAUUAAUAUGAUGGAAGUAUUAUUUUUAGCUGAAAUUAAUAUAAUUCACUUUUAGGGAACAAGUUGCUAAACUAACCAAAAGAUUGGAAUGGGCCUUUGCUCCGCCAUUUUGAUCCUAAAAUAUUUAGAAAGUAUUAGCUUUGUAUUAGAAGAAACUUCCAUUUUAUUGCAAUUGAUAGCUAUGAAAUAUAUUUCAGGUAUUCUUGCUAAUACUGCUGAAGCAAAAUACAAUUACUGGUCUACCUUUGCGCCUAAUCCUUUUGAAGUUGUAUUAACUGGUCUACAUCGUUAUAGGCUUGUAGGCUUGUAGUAUUUUUUUGUUGUUAGAUUUGUAACAUGGUUUAUUACUUUUCAUGAGAAAUUUGUGUAUCAAUAUUUUGAGUUUAAUGAAAUAUCUCAUUUUGUAGUAA